GAUUGAAUGCUGGCGGCAGGCCUAACACAUGCAAGUCGAGCGGUAACAUUUCUAGCUUGCUAGAAGAUGACGAGCGGCGGACGGGUGAGUAAUACUUGGGGAUCUGCCUGAUGGAGGGGGACAACCACUGGAAACGGUGGCUAAUACCGCAUGACGCCUACGGGCCAAAGUGUGGGACCUUCGGGCCACACGCCAUCAGAUGAACCCAAGCGAGAUUAGCUAGUUGGUGAGGUAACGGCUCACCAAGGCGACGAUCUCUAGCUGGUCUGAGAGGAUGAUCAGCCACACUGGGACUGAGACACGGCCCAGACUCCUACGGGAGGCAGCAGUGGGGAAUAUUGGACAAUGGGCGCAAGCCUGAUCCAGCCAUGCCGCGUGUGUGAAGAAGGCCUUAGGGUUGUAAAGCACUUUCAGUGGUGAGGAAGGCGUUGUAGUUAAUAGCUGCAACGAUUGACGUUAGCCACAGAAGAAGCACCGGCUAACUCCGUGCCAGCAGCCGCGGUAAUACGGAGGGUGCGAGCGUUAAUCGGAAUUACUGGGCGUAAAGCGCACGUAGGCGGCUUGUUAAGCAAGAUGUGAAAGCCCAGGGCUCAACCUUGGAAUUGCAUUUUGAACUGGCAAGCUAGAGUUUUGAAGAGGGUGGUAGAAUUUCCAGUGUAGCGGUGAAAUGCGUAGAUAUUGGAAGGAAUACCAGUGGCGAAGGCGGCCACCUGGUCAAAAACUGACGCUGAGGAGCGAAAGCGUGGGGAGCAAACAGGAUUAGAUACCCUGGUAGUCCACGCCGUAAACGAUGUCGACUAGUUGUUCGUGUCUUUAAGAUGUGAGUAACGCAGCUAACGCACUAAGUCGACCGCCU
rnacentral:rRNA from 1 species